rfam:Angiostrongylus costaricensis strain Costa Rica genome assembly, scaffold: ACOC_contig0000124
GCCUGCGUGGCCUAAUGGAUAAGGCGUCUGACUUCUAAUCAGAAGAUUGCCGGUUCAACCCCGGCCGCGGGCU